rnacentral:lncRNA from 1 species
AUGCAUAUGGCUCAGCUCUUCACAAUAUACAUAUAGCUCAGCUCUUCAGGGCAUGCCUCUUCACAGCAUAGUCAAUAGAGCUGUAAAUCCGAGGCAUCCAUGAUACCACCGUAACACACACAUUUCUUUGCAGGCCAUAGUGGACGCCCUCAUCCCCUGCGUCACUACCCUCGACAACAACCUUGAUGACCUGCAUCAUCGUCCCCACUAUUCCAAGACUCGUUCACUAUUCUAGAGGACUUGCCAUCUCUUUUGGUGUGAAAAUACUCCCAUAAUUUAAAUUAUUUACCGCACCAGC